GCCAGGCGUGGUGGUGCAUGCCUGUAAUCCCAGCUCCUAGGGAGGCUGAGGCAGGAGAAUCGCUUGAACCCAGGAGAUGGAGGUUGCAGUGAGUUGGGAUCGCGCCACUGCACUCCAGCCUGGGUGACACAGCGAGACUCUGUCUCCA
ensembl:misc_RNA Metazoa_SRP Metazoan signal recognition particle RNA